rnacentral:rRNA from 1 species
AGUGAACGCUGGCGGUAGGCCUAACACAUGCAAGUCGAACGGCAGCACAGUAAGAGCUUGCUCUUACGGGUGGCGAGUGGCGGACGGGUGAGGAAUACAUCGGAAUCUACUUUUUCGUGGGUGAUAACGUAGGGAAACUUACGCUAAUACCGCAUACGACCUACGGGUGAAAGCAGGGGAUCUUCGGACCUUGCGCGAUUGAAUUAGCCGAUGUCGGAUUAGCUAGUUGGCGGGGUAAAGGCCCACCAAGGCGACGAUCCGUAGCUGGUCUGAGAGGAUGAUCAGCCACACUGGAACUGAGACACGGUCCAGACUCCUACGGGAGGCAGCAGUGGGGAAUAUUGGACAAUGGGCGCAAGCCUGAUCCAGCCAUACCGCGUGGGUGAAGAAGGCCUUCGGGUUGUAAAGCCCUUUUGUUGGGAAAGAAAAGCAGCAGGUUAAUACCCCGCUGUUCUGACGGUACCCAAAGAAUAAGCACCGGCUAACUUCGUG